rnacentral:rRNA from 1 species
CGUAGGGCGGAGCGUUGUCCGGAAUUAUUGGGCGUAAAGGCGUGUAGGCGGCUUCUUAAGUCCGGUGUGAAGACCCACGGCUCAACCGUGGAGGGUCACUGGAAACUAGGGGAGGCUUGAGAGCAGGAGAGGAGAGCGGAAUUCCACGUGUAGCGGUGAAAUGCGUAGAUAUGUGGAGGAACACCAGUGGCGAAGGCGGCUCUCUGGCCUGACUCUGACGCUGAGGCGCGAAAGCGUGGGGAGCAAACAGGAUU